GAGUGUGUGUGUGUUUGUAUAGUGUGUGUAUAUAAUGCAGUGUGUUUGUGUAGUGUGCAUUAUAUACACACACUAUGCAAACACACUG